rnacentral:lncRNA from 1 species
GUUUUGAGAGUUUUUUUGCCACGACUGCACCCUGAGACAAAGUCAGUGUUUGUCACAACGUUCACGUUGAACCUGGCAGGAAGACAGGCUGAGCCACGAAAGGUGCCCACUGGGCUGUCGUCCUCCUUCACUGCUUUCAGGAUCACGGCACUGACUGAAUCGUUCACGGGGACCGUCACUGGGGGAAAGGGUAUGAGGAAGCAGUUAGCGUGAGCCAAGUGAAACCAAGGAGGUGUGUGAGCAAGGGAAGCCACGGAGUGCGGACGGACGGCAUGCACCCGCUUCUGUAAAACAAAGUACAGAGAUCCUGACUGGGAACCCAGGGUGCCACAGGCCUGUGACUCCAGGUGGAUGGCUGGACCCGGAUUUGGGCACAAUUGUAACCCUAAGAUGGGUAACGGGGACUCAAUUGUUGGAAUGGUAUUGAAACCUUCCCUGGAACACUUGUGCAUUUCUCGCAAGAAUAUAAAAUGAUGUAGCUGCCUUUUGAAACUGUUUGGCAUCUAAUCAACUAAACAGAGUCACUACUGUAUGGCCCAGGAACCCCACUCCUGGGUAUUUAUCUAAAGGAAUAAAAACCUUGACUCCCCACAAAAAUCUCUACACAACUGUUUAUAAAAGAAUUGUAACAGUAGCUCCAAAUCGACUUUGAAUAAAGAAAAUGUGGUCUACUUUUACAAUGGACUGUCACUUCAAAACAGGAAUGAAGUAUGGAUUCCCGAACUGCCAUCAGAGAGACCUUGGAUAGAUUGCACUCUGUGAAAGAAGUGGACUCAGAAGGUCACGCACUGUCUAAUCUGCCUUAUGUGAAAGGUCCAGAAUAGGCAACUCUGCAGAUGCAGGAAGCAGGAAGCUGUGCCAGACCUGGGGGGAAGGUGUGAGAAGGAAGUGAAGUGAGUGUGAAUUGGCUGCUGCUGCUUUGGAAGUGACCAAGAUGUUCUGGAAUAGUGAUGACAUCUAAGCCCUGGAAUGAAUCAAAGCCCACCAGGGUGAAUUUUAUGGCCUGAGAAUUUCAUCUCAAUAAAACAUUUUUGUUUG